AUUGAACGCUGGCGGCAGGCCUAACACAUGCAAGUCGAGCGGAUGAAGAGAGCUUGCUCUCUGAUUUAGCGGCGGACGGGUGAGUAAUGCCUAGGAAUCUGCCUGAUAGUGGGGGAUAACGUUCCGAAAGGAACGCUAAUACCGCAUACGUCCUACGGGAGAAAGCAGGGGACCUUCGGGCCUUGCGCUAUCAGAUGAGCCUAGGUCGGAUUAGCUAGUUGGUGGGGUAAUGGCUCACCAAGGCUACGAUCCGUAACUGGUCUGAGAGGAUGAUCAGUCACACUGGAACUGAGACACGGUCCAGACUCCUACGGGAGGCAGCAGUGGGGAAUAUUGGACAAUGGGCGAAAGCCUGAUCCAGCCAUGCCGCGUGUGUGAAGAAGGUCUUCGGAUUGUAAGGCACUUUAAGUUGGGAGGAAGGGCAGUAAGUUAAUACCUUGCUGUUUUGACGUUACCGACAGAAUAAGCACCGGCUAACUUCGUGCCAGCAGCCGCGGUAACAC
rnacentral:rRNA from 1 species